UCCUUGUCAGAAUCCGUCCUGGGGACCCAAUUUCCUGGUUCAGCAGGGAGCAUUUGUGCGUGGCCAGCGCCGCCGUGGCCCUGGACAAAGGACAGCGAUAACAGACUCGCAGGUGUGCCGGUGGGCGCGAGGCCUUUCGGGUGAGGAUCAGCUACAACUGAAGGUAAUGAGGCAGGCACAGGCCCUACCUCUGAGCCCUUCGCAAGCCAUUUAUUUCCUCAUCGUAACGUCUGUGACUGGCACCUUCUUUCUCUCAGUCGCCCAGCCUUGAGACCACAGAAUCGCCCUGGGACCCUUUCUCUCGUCCUUUCCACACACAGCAACGAAAGCCGCUGUGUCCUGUGUCUAUACCACCUCGCACUGUGGCUUCCCUGGUCUCCUCGGGGGCACCACCGGAGUCCAGCCUGUGGCGGCCUCCUGUCCGGCCUGCUCCUGGCUCUGCUCCUGCAGCCGUCCUGCGGGGCCUCGACCCUGCGUGCGUGCGAGCCCGGUGCGCUCCCGCCUCAGCCCCCCUCAGAAACCGUGCGUGCCGCCCUCUGAUGACUAACUCUAGAACGAUGCACCCAACCACCCGUCAAGACCUUGAACUUGCCCCCACCUGUUUUUCUGUUUCUGUAGCCUAAUUAUAGGACACUGGUCCCCAAACAUCAUUGUCAUCACCAGAAUCCUCGUAACAGCUAUGUUUUUUUUUAAAGCUAUUAAUUUGUGCAAAUCACUGUUUUUAGCUCUCAAGAGUAUAAUCUUAUUUAAUCUUUGCAAUGAGCACCACCUGAGACGACUUCCUUGCUCAAGCCUUGUGUUGUGAUGAGCCCUUAGUAACCUUGCCUCGUUCAAGCCGCCAUGGCACAUUCUUGGUAACUCUAAAGAGGCAAUUAUAAUCUGUUAUCACUUUUUGUAUUUUCAUCUCAUUUCCUGCUUCUGAGCUGUGAGCACCCUCAUUCACGGAGAGAGAAUAUUUGCAAAGUAGAGGGUAGCAGGGGUGUAGCUGGGAGUACAGGGUUGUACAUAAAGUUGUACCUUGACCACAUUUUCAGUGUUUUGAUUUUUUUUUUUCUAGGAACAGCUCAGCCAAAAGCUUUGCUAAAGUCAUAGAGGUUGUAUUUAUUGAUUUUUUAUGCAUUAAUCCAAUUGUUCGCACAUAGGAGAUUAAGUUAGUAUGAUAAGUCUUGUUAGACAACUUGAUUUUGGUGGAUUGGGAGAGUUUCUGAUGUUUUUUCAGAAGCAGAAUUUAAAUUUAUAAUUUUAUAUUCUUUUUUCUAAAGUUUAUUUAUUUUGAGAGACAGUGAGCAAGAGAAUGGGGGAGGGGCAGAGAAAGAGGGAGAGAAAGAAUGCCCAGCAGGAUCCGCACUGCCAGCACCGCCCGAUGUGGGGCUCAAACUCCCCAACCGUGAGAUCGUGACCUGAGCCGAAACUGAGAACUGGACACUUAACUGACUGAGCCACCCAGGCGCCCCUAUAAUUUUAUAUUCACAAUACCCAUCCUUUUCCUUAUUUGAGAAGAUAAACUUUGUAUCAUAUGACAUUUUUUUUUGCAAUAGUGAUUGACGUCCCUUGCCAUGAUGUUGAAAUUUUGUAAGAUUUUAAAAUAAAUUGACAAAGAUUCAAGUCAUA